rnacentral:lncRNA from 1 species
GUUUGUUUAUAUGUACAUAUUUCAGAGUCUAUGAUACUGUAAUAGUAUAUUUUAUUUAUAUUUGACAAUUUUAUGCAAUAUUUCCUCAUGUGUGCCAAGCUGAUAUAAAAAUAUAUGAUAGACUGUCGUAAACUGUGGAUAUCAAUUUUGGUGAAUUGAGAAAAAACUUGCAUUUUGAUGGAUAUUUAAUUCAAAGAUUAAUAAUGAAUCCACAGUAUAUAAAUUGUAAUUGUUACAAUAAACACCACUGCUUUUUUAUGAUAUAAACAAAAGUGCUUUUUGUUGAGCCCUAUGCACUAUAUGUGAAAUUUUCUUUUGCUGGGAAUUUUUUUUUGAGCAAAUCCAUGUACCUGUAUUACUUAGCAUUCACAUUUAAAGAACUAAAACAUCCUUUCUCAAUACUUUUUGUCAGGUUUCCCAUGCCAGUGGGACAGUUGCAUGAUAUUUUUUUCAAAAUAAUUGGCAGGCCUAAGAAUUUUAAACCCAAGCCACCAUUUUUCUGUUACAAAUUAAGAUUUGACUAUAUCAUGUAUAUCGAGCAUCUCUUUCUUCCAAAACUUUAUUUCAGUUGAACAAUGUGAUUAGGACUUUUAUGUCUGAAACUUUAUGACAAUCAUAAAAAAAAAUGUAUUCUUUACCUUUUUCCCCAAUAAGUAUAUUCUUGCUAACGGUUUGUGUCUGAUGAUUUGAAACAUUUAUAUAUUUUUACUCCUAUGUGUACUCAUUGUCCACCUUUUGACAUUGUUGGCUUAAAAAAACAACCACUAUUUUCUACUGAAUUUUGAAACAAUG